rnacentral:rRNA from 1 species
UACGGGGGGGGGCAAGCGUUGUUCGGAAUUACUGGGCGUAAAGGGCUCGUAGGCGGCCAACUAAGUCAGACGUGAAAUCCCCCAGGCUCAACCUGGGAACUGCGUCUGAUACUGGAUGGCUUGAAUCCGGGAGAGGGAUGCAGAAUUCCAGGUGUAGCGGUGAAAAUGCGUAGAUAUCUGGAGGAAUACCGGUGGCGAAGGCGGCAUCCUGGACCGGCAUUGACGCUGAGGAGCGAAAAGCUAGGGGGAGCAAACGGGG